UUGGGGGUUUCGUCCAAGGACGAAACCACUGAGAAUAAUCAGAGUCACGUGGCGAUGCCUACGUGCUCUGAGAAUUUGAGUGUCCCCGGUUUCUAGCCUUGGGUCACACUCUAGGGGUGUCUCCUUAGCGCAAGACGGUAAUGACGGACACCUCCCUCACGGGCUGGAGCACGGUCUUAGACAGCUGUCCAGCUCACCAUCUCUUGCCUAGAAACGUGGGCCAUAUUUCUACACUGAAAUUCCUUCUUCCUCAAUUGAGAGGUCACCAUGUGUUUACAGACAACACACCGGUGGUCUCAUAUUGACCACCAGGGAGGAUUAUGUCCGUGCCCCCUGUUCAGGCAGGUGCAACUAAUUCUUCUCUGGGCAGAAGGAAAGUUUGUCAGUGAGUGCAAUGUACAUUCUGGGAAUAUGGGGGCAGACAUCCUGUUGAGGCAGGGGCUGAGGCCCAGGAAUUGGUGGCUCCAUCCACAAGUGGUGGAGUCCAUAUGGCGUGGUUGGCCAAGCGGGACUGCAUGUGUUCGCCUCCAAGGAGAAAACACAAGUGCGGGUAGAUCGCCAUUGAAAAAAAAAAUAGAUGUUAGCGUUGACGUACAGGGCAGCCAGUCUGAGAUCUCGUCUUUUCUCUCACCACACGUGUGCGAUCAAACGCGCCAGCUACUGCUAAAGGCUAGCUAGCGAAAUCACUAAGUUAACUUUCCAAUUUAUUCCUACUGAAGUAAGGGUACAAAAUGAGUGAGGUAGCAGGAUCAAGCAAGAAACCGAAGACUUAUCACUUCCAUGUGGAAUGGGAGGAUAAUUUUAAAAAAAAAAAUUUCCACGGUGUCAUAUCCGAAGUGCGUUUGUCUGCUCUGCCAAGCUACCAUUGCUAUUCCGAAAAAGGGAAAUGUGGAGCGGCACUUUAGGACUGUUCAUAAAAACUACGACACUGACUUCCCUCUGAAAAGCGAGCUGAGAAAGAGGAAGGUGAAGGAACUAAAAUCACAGUUGUCCGGACAGCAGUCAUUUUUCUCACGACUGACUUCAAAUGCUAAGGCAGCCACCGAAGCAUUGUUCUGGGUGUCACUCCAUCAUUAAACACAAGAAGUCAUUCCAAGACGGAGAGAUGAUAAAAGAGGCAUUCGUAGACGCAGCUGACUCGUUGUUUCGGGACCUUAAAAACAAAACCGAAAUAUUAUCUUCAAUCAAAGCUCUCCAGCUAUCAAGAAGUACAGUUACACGGCGCUGUGAAGUCAUGACCAAGGAUUUUACAGCUUUGGAAGGACAUCACAGAUUGCGAGUGUUUCUCACUGCAAUUUGACGAGUCUACGGAUGUAAGUGAUACAGCCCCGUUGUGCGUUUUUAUUCGGAUGGUGUUUACAGAUAUGACUGCAAAAGAAGAGCUGUUGACAGUACUGCCCAUGAAAGAACACACGCGGGGAGAGGACAUUUUUCAGUCUUUUAAAGACUUCAUUAACAAAACCCAGCUCCCAGUGUGCAAAUUGAUAUCAGUCACCAUGGACGGUGCGCCCGCAAUGGUUGGCAGCGCAAAUGGAUUCAUUGCCAAGUGCAGGGAAGACGAUGCUUUCCCUGAAAUCCUUAAUUACCACUGCAUAAUACACCAACAAGCCUUAUGCGCAAAAAUGCUAAACAUGAAAGAGAUCAUGGAUGUGGCAACAAAGAUCGCCUGUUCUAUACGUGCUAGAUCACUUCAAAGACAGCUGUUCCGUGCGCAUCUGGAGAAGGCAGACUGCGACCACUCUGAGCUUCUGCUACACACUGACGUGAGAUGGCUUAGUAGGGGUAAAUUCCUGCAGAGAUUUCGAGAGGUCUGUCCGGAGAUAAGGGAGUUUCUUUUUGCUGUUAAACAUGCAGAAUACACCAACUCAAUGAUGAUCAGUGGCUGCUGGACUUGGCAUUUUCAACCGAUCUGACCAACAUGUUAAAUGAGCUUAAUUUGGAGCUGCAAGGAAAAGACAAAACCGUGGUCAAUAUGAUCAGUUCAGUUAAUGCCUUUAAACGGAAAAUGCAACUUCUGUCCUCAAAGCUGCAGCGCCAUGAUUUUGGGAACUUCCAAAACCUCGGGUCAGAGCUGGAGACGCAGCGGAAAGCUUGUGUGCAAUUUAACAUUGCACGCUACACGGAGCAGAUUGACAGCUGUCGGCCAGAGUUUGACAGACGCUUUCAAGACUUUGCUUUACUGGAGCCAGUCGCUACAUUAAUGUGCUACCCAUUAGGGACAAUGUUGAGGUUGAUUCACUCACAUCAAAAGUCUCAUCAAAAAACUCGUCUGAAAUGGAGGAUGAGAUUUUGAAACUACAGACUGACAUUCAGCUGAAGUCCAGGGCUCAUGGACAGUUUUGGAACUUACUCACAGGGGAAAAGUACCCAAACAUGAGGAAAUGUGCAACCUCCUUGACUGCAUUAUUUGGCUCUACUUAUUUAUGUGAGUCAGGCUUUUCCCACAUGAAGAUUAUUAAGUCCAAAUACAGUUUCACAAUGACUGAUAAUCAUUUGGAGGCCUGCUUGAGGCUGGCUACCAGCAGCUACUGUCCGGACUAUGCAACCCUGGCUGAUUCUAUUCAGUGCAAGUCACCAGAGUAAGUGUAGGUAGAUCUCUUUGAGUGGUCAUGUUAAAAGUAGCUCGCAAGUCAAAAGUGUGGGCACCCCUGGCCUAGACAGUCUAUGUCUGCUGCUAGUAGCACCUUAUUGGCCAGCUCGAAUAUGGUUCUCAGACAUAAUAUCCCUGCUAGAUGGCACUCCUUGGGAGAUUCCCAUCCGCAGGGAUCCACUGUAGACCCAGUGACCUGCACCAUAGCUACAGUCCUGGAGUUCUUACAAGAACAUUUCUCAGCGGGGUGGGCUCCUUCUACAAUCAGGGUUUACGUGGCCACCAUUUCGGCCAGCCACACCCCUGUUGAUGGAGCCUCUGUAGGGCAACAUCUUCUAACUUCGAGGUUUAUGUGUGGUGUCAGGCAGCUGAGGCCCAUCUGCAGGCCGCACAUAAUUUCCUGGGCCCUUUAUGUGGUCCUGGAAGGUCUGUCAGGGGCCCCAUUUGAGCCCUUAGAGUCAGCCUCUGAGAAGCUUCUGACUCUAAAGGUAGCUCUUCUGCUGGCCCUGACAUCUCUCAAGCAAGUAGGAGAUCUGCAAGCUCUCUGUUUCCCCUUCCUGCCUUGACUUUGCCUCUGGAUCCUAUGCCGGAUUAUAUUCCUAAGGUGCCUACAUCGGCUGCCCACCCUGUGGUGUUGCAAGCUUUCUGCCCUCCUCCAUUCCCUACACCGGAACAAUGUACCUGCUGUGUCCAGUAAGGGCACUCUGUACUUACGUCCACUGCUCCAGCCAGUGGCGUAAGUCGGAGCAGCUGCUGGUCUGCUUUGGCGGCGACAGUAGAGGUGAUGCUGUGUCAAAGCAGCGCAUGUCUAAUUGGAUAGUGGAAGCAAUCUCUAUUGCUUAUGAGGUGCGCGGUCUGGGCAUAAGAGCUCAUUCCAGUUGGGCGGUCACCUCCGCGAAGGGGUAUCCUUACAGGAUGUGUGCUGCUGCAGGGUGGUCUACGCCACACACAUUCAUUCAUUAUUACAGCCUGGAUAUCCAUUCCUUGCCGGGCUCGGGUGUCUUGCAGUGACCCUUGGGCCGAAGGGAGGGGAUCAUGCUCUGCUUCAGUAUGUCACAGUACAUUGGCAUUGACAGUUGGCAUUCAUGGUUCACUCAAUGAACUAUAGCUCCCCAGUGCCGGCAGCACUCAUGCAGCCCCAGACCAUGACACUCCCACCACCAUGCUUGACUGUAGGCAAGACACACUUGUCUUUGUACUCCUCACCUGGUUGCCGCCACACACGCUUGACACCAUCUGAACCAAAUAAGUUUAUGUUGGUCUCUUCAGAUCACAGGACAUGGUUCCAGUAAUCCAUGUCCUUAGUCUGCUUGUCUUCAGAAAACUGUUUGCGGGCUUUCUUGUGCAUCAUCUUUAGAAGAGGCUUCCUUCUGGGACAAAAGCCAUGCAGACCAAUUUGAUGCAGUGUGCAGCGUAUGGUCUGAGCACUGACAGGCUGACCCCCCACCCCUUCAACCUCUGCAGCAAUGCUGGCAGCACUCAUACGUCUAUUUCCCAAACACAACCUCUGGAUAUGACGCUGAGCACGUGCACUCAACUUCUUUGGUCGAACAUGGCGAGGCCUGUUCUGAGUGGAACCUGUCCUGUUAAACCACUGUAUGGUCUUGGCCACCAUGCUGCAGCUCAGUGUCAGGGUCUUGGCAAUCUUCUUAGAGCCUAGGCCAUCUUUAUGUAGAGCAACAGUUCUUUUUUUCAGAUCCUCAGAGAGUUCUUUGCCAUGAGGUGCCAUGUUGAACUUCCAGGGACCAGUAUGAGGAAGUCUGAGAGUGAUGACACCAAAUUUAACACACCUGCUCCCCAUUCACACCUGAGACCUUGCAACACUAACAAGUCACAUGACACCGGGGAGGGAAAAUGGCUAAUUGGGCCCCAAUUUGGACAUUUUCACUUAGGGGUAUACUCACUUUUGUUGCCAGCAGUUUAGAUGGUAAUGGCUGUGUGUUGAGUUAUUUUGAGGGGACAGCAAAUUUACACUGUUACACAAGCUGUACACUCACUACUUUACAUUGUAGCAAAGUGUCAUUUCUUCAGUGUUGUCACAUGAAAAGAUAUAAUCAAAUAUUUACAAAAAUGUGAGGGGUGAACUCACUUUUGUGAGAUACUGUAUAUAGGAUGAGAACGCCGUCCACUUGUUACUCAAAUUCUUUUUCAGCAGAAGGGCUGUCCGUCAGUGAAGACUUUUGAGUUUGCUCCUCAUAUUGAAGACACUUCACUCUGUUUUGUUCAUAUUCUUAUUCUGCUCCUGCAUUUGCUUGAUUUUUUUGCUUGGUUAUUAUAGCAUUGUGUCCUUAACUGUAUUUUCUUGUGUUACUGGUGUUUUCUUCCUUGUUUCCUUAGUCCUGUUUUUCAGCACUGUCCUUCCUGCAUCUUCCUGAUAGAUCUGCUUUACUGAGUAAUGGAUCCCAUUCUUAAAUUCAAAAGGAACUACCUUCUCUGCCCUGUCCGCAAGAAGACCUGGCAUUGCCUGUCAGUGCAUCUGCGCAGAGUCUGCAUGAAGACAGAUCCUGAAGAAGCCAUUGAAGCAGUCGAGAGGGCAACGGUGGAAAUGCGUGUGCUUCUGGCAAUAGGCAGGGCUGAUUGAGGAACUGGAGAGUCGCUUUUUGGUGGUGACCGGUGUGCCCCCACCACUACCUACUACCACUGCAAGGGCAGAGCCUUCCUCCUCCAGAGCCACACAGCCAACAGGGUUGGACAGUGAACGUCAGAGAGCUCCUCUGUCAGCGGUGGCAAGAGCAGCUGUGAGAGCAGUGGCGAGACCUUUCAAUGUAACCCUGGUGUGUAGUGGACCAACCCGGUAAGAAAGCUAAUGGCAAAGAAGGGGCUUUACAAGAAGCACUCUAUCGACCAUGCAUUGCUGAAGGGUUUUUUUUUCAUUUUUGCGGAAAGACCUUCAAAGUGAGAACCCUAAACAGGAGGUUGAAAAUGUUGCACGUUUUCUUUGUUACGUGGACCCACGGGCACCAGCCCUGGAAUUUGUCAGGGACAGGGAGAAGACUCAGCAGUUUUUCAGGGAGCUGACUGAUGCGGGGCUUUCAAAGCAGACUCAACUUAUCUACAUGAAAAAUCUGAAAAGAUUCCUCACCUACCAGACGAUCAACACCAACCUAAGGCCUGAUGACGGGGAACUCCAUACAGACUGUAGGGAGUUCAUAGACCACCUUGGACUACUGCAGAAGAGCUGAAGUAAGAAAGUGAGCAAGGAGAUUACCCAAAAAAGGCACGAGAGGUUGACAGAAGAUGCUGAACUGACAACGCGUGACUGCACAGCUGUGCUCAGGGCUGCCAAAGGAGACUUCCUGGCCAUCAAUCGGAAGCUGCUCUCAGCGAAACAGUUGACCACCGACGAGUGCUAGGAUUAUAUGUACUAUCUCCAGGCACUGGUCAUACAGAAGCACCUCCAACGACCAGGUUCCGGAGUGGCUGAACAAGAAGACCACUACGUCGGGAUACACAGUUGUGGGUGUCAAGGAGCACAAGACAAGUGCCCAACAAGUGGCCACAUUUGCCCUUUCUCAGGAGGAGGAUACUUGGUUUGAGCUGUACUACACAUGUGUGCGGCCACAACUCAAGUCCUGCAUCAGGAAGCGGAAGAAAGAAGAUAUGGAUGAGACUGAAGAGAGAUUCUUUAUCUCAUCCACGAGUGGAAGAAUAUACGAGUGUGGAGGACGGUGUUCACAUGUUUUUUUUCGAAAACAUGAAUGGACAGUCCAUGUGCAUUGAUGCACAUUCACCUUGCCGUGAGUGCAAUCCUAACCAGCAGACUUUUGGGCGGUUGAUCAAUCACUCAAGGAAACGUUGUAACCUGAGGCCCAGAGCAUACACACGUCAAAAUGGGGAGGAAAAGAACACAAUUAUUUUCCUGGCCACAAGAGACAUUGGGGUCAAUGAAGAACUUAAAGAAAAUCUUUUAUAGGAAAGGGUUUAGAUCUCCUUUGGUUAUAAAUGUGUAAAUACAUGUGUAAAUGUGUGCAAAUACUCCUCUGUAAAUAAAUUGUGUAUGUGCAUGAGUGUAUAACUAAAAUGAUUUGAAUUGCAUUCAGUAUUUUACAAGAUGCAUUUCACAAGAAGUUUUCCCUGUAAAGAUGUGCUCAAAGUUUAUUAGUGAUGUAGCUUGGUCAUUCCUUGUUGACUUUCACCCAUACAAGUUAUUAUCUGUCUGCAUCUUGUUUCACAUAGAGCACCUCAUUCCUUCUCUCACCAAUCCAGACCCAUCCCCAGCACAAGGGCUAAAUCUAUUGUUCUCCUUAAUGGCCGUCUUUUGCUGACUGCUUCAAAAGUUGUGUGCUGUGGAUGCAGUCUUGGUAGGUAAGAGAAGGGAUGUUGUGCUCUAUAUGAACUCAGACAUGCACUCAAAGCAUUUGUAAAGCACUUUGAAUUGCCACUGUGUAUGAAUUGUGCAAUAUAAAUAAACUUGCCUUGCCUUCUGACUGUGAAGGCAUAUAAGUUCAUAUAACUGUGAAAAGUAAAAAAAAAAAAAAUUAAGUCCCAGUUAUAUCAUGGGCUGACCCAUGGGAUAACUAGGAAAAGUUAAAAAAAAAUUUCUAAGAAAACUCAAGCUCCUGUCAAAGGAGAAGCAGGACCAUCAGCAGUGAUUGUGGACACGACUGGCGUAACUGCCCCACCAAUACAUGGCAACAGCCUCCCGGGGGUAGAGGGAAGG